rnacentral:rRNA from 1 species
CUAGUACGAGAGGACCGGAGUGGACGCAUCACUGGUGUUCGGGUUGUCAUGCCAAUGGCACUGCCCGGUAGCUAAAUGCGGAAGAGAUAAGUGCUGAAAGCAUCUAAGCACGAAACUUGCCCCGAGAUGAGUUCUCCCUGACCCUUUAAGGGUCCUGAAGGAACGUUGAAGACGACGACGUUGAUAGGCCGGGUGUGUAAGCGCAGCGAUGCGUUGAGCUAACCGGUACUAAUGAACCGUGAGGCUUAACCUUACAACGCCGAAGCUGUU